UGUAACCAAGACAACUGUAACAACAUGAGUAGAUAGCCACCAAGGUUUUUCAAGUCCCUCUCUUACUCCAUUUUGCCAACCCAAACUUCCAGGUACAUGACGGGACACCUUGCUUGUUUUUGUUGUUUGCGCUCCUCUGGCUGGGUGCUGGCAGGUGGAGGGCAGUGAUGUUGGCAGGUGGAGGGGCAGUGAUGUUACGGGUGGAGGGGCAGUGAUGUUAGCUGUUACACACCAGGCUCAAACUUAACACAUUGCAUCCUUCUUUGCAGUGUCCUUAUUCCUGGAAGGGGAAUCUGCAAUUCCUGCAGAGUUUUGUAACCCGUUGGUCCGCACGCAAAGCAAAUUUUUAAAGCCUUCUUAAUUGUCUCAUUGCUCCAUUUCAUCCCCUUUGUGAUGUGUUUGACUGGCUGCUGGUUCCCUCGUAUGCUGACUGGCUGCUGGUUCCCUCGUAUGCUGACUGGCUGCUGGCUGAAUACAGGUCCCGGGGUGAAUCGUGGUGCAGGGGCCCUUCUCUUUUUGACCACAGGGCGAUGCACGAAGAUGGUGGGUAUAGCCUCUGCUCUCAGCCUAGUCUUGCCCUUUUUUGUCUUGACAAACUGGUCUGCAUCAAAAUGUGCCUGCGGAGUGACUUGAGGUUACUUCACACACAGAACAACUCAGUUUUGUCUGCCCACAUACAUAUUCCAUAGUGGUUGAAUACACAGUAUUAGGAAACACUUUAUACUUACUGGACAUGUUAUACUCAUUACAUACUGUAUAUAAAAUAUGACCAAGAAUGUGAGACAACUUUAUAGAAAUUCAUAUCACAUCUGUUACUGAUGCCAUUUGUCAUACUUUGUUAAAC